rnacentral:rRNA from 1 species
AACGAACGCUGGCGGCAGGCCUAACACAUGCAAGUCGAACGCUGUAGCAAUACAGAGUGGCAGACGGGUGAGUAACGCGUGGGAACAUGCCCUUCGGUUCGGAAUAACUCAGGGAAACUUGAGCUAAUACCGGAUACGCCCUUAGGGGGAAAGAUUUAUUGCCGAAGGAUUGGCCCGCGUCCGAUUAGCUAGUUGGUGAGGUAAUGGCUCACCAAGGCGACGAUCGGUAGCUGGUCUGAGAGGAUGAUCAGCCACACUGGGACUGAGACACGGCCCAGACUCCUCCGGGAGGCAGCAGUGGGGAAUAUUGGACAAUGGGCGCAAGCCUGAUCCAGCCAUGCCGCGUGAGUGAUGAAGGCCCUAGGGUUGUAAAGCUCUUUCGCCAGGGACGAUAAUGACGGUACCUGGAUAAGAAGCCCCGGCUAACUUCGUGCCAGCAGCCGCAGUAAAAC